rnacentral:tRNA from 1 species
UAGGCAGAGGCCUGUUGGUUGAGGCAUGUAGCUGUUAACUAUAGAGUCAUGGGAUCGAAGCCCAUCUGCCUAG